rnacentral:miRNA from 9 species
UUUGGAUUGAAGGGAGCUCUU